GACGAACGCUGGCGGCGUGCUUAACACAUGCAAGUCGAACGAUGAAGCCGGAGCUUGCUCCGGUGGAUUAGUGGCGAACGGGUGAGUAACACGUGAGCAAUCUGCCCUUGACUCUGGGAUAACUGCGGGAAACUGUAGCUAAUACCGGAUACGACACCUUGGGUCAUCCCAGGCUGUGGAAAGAAUUUCGGUCAAGGAUGGUCUCGCGGCCUAUCAGCUAGUUGGUGGGGUAAUGGCUCACCAAGGCGACGACGGGUAGCCGGCCUGAGAGGGUGACCGGCCACACUGGAACUGAGACACGUUCCAGACUCCUACGGGAUGCAGCAGUGGGGAAUAUUGCACAAUGGGCGAAAGCCUGAUGCAGCAACGCCGCGUGAGGGAUGAAGGCCUUCGGGUUGUAAACCUCUUUUAGCAGGGAAGAAGCGAAAGUGACGGUACCUGCAGAAAAAGCACCGGCUAACUACGUGCCAGCAGCCGCCGUAA
rnacentral:rRNA from 1 species